rnacentral:rRNA from 1 species
UACGUAGGGUGCAAGCGUUACUCGGAAUUACUGGGCGUAAAGCGUGCGCAGGCGGUUCGCUAAGACAGAUGUGAAAUCCCCGGGCUUAACCUGGGAACUGCAUUUGUGACUGGCGGGCUAGAGUAUGGCAGAGGGGGGUAGAAUUCCACGUGUAGCAGUGAAAUGCGUAGAGAUGUGGAGGAAUACCGAUGGCGAAGGCAGCCCCCUGGGCCAAUACUGACGCUCAUGCACGAAAGCGUGGGGAGCAAACAGG